UUUUUCUUGUGUAUAUAAGUUUAUGGGAAUGUUUGAUACAUUGAAACAGAAAUAUCGAAAUAAGAAACUCUGGGGUGUUGUGAAGCCACUGAAAUCCUUGCAGCCUUAUGCCAACCCUAGAAACAAUUACGUAGAUCUGUGAUCUGAUCAUCAUAUUCAGGCUUUUAAAUGCUACUUUUGUCAUUCCAGAGAUUCAAGAGACUACACGCUCAAAAGGUGUCAGAAUGAAGUGAGUGAGACUUACACUGGUGAUGGCUCUGUUGAUGCAAAAGGAAAGCCAGCAGUGAAGCAAAAUACUGAAUAUUGGAGAGCAUGUUGGUUCAUUAUAGGUACUUUAUUUUGUAUAAAAUAAUCGUGAAUUGAUUAAUGUUCUUGACUAUAUGUAAUUAUAUAACACAAGUGUUGAAUGUUGUGAAGGCUUGUUCUUCUUUGGGCCUUUAUGUUCAUUCUGUCAAUAGUUAUGAUGACACUCUACCCAAUUCUCAUAGAUUUAAUUUUUAAAAACUGUAUCUAAAAAUGUUGUCAUCCAUUAAAUUUAUUCAUGUUUAAUUUUAAUUUUGUUUUAAUUUUUUA